CGGGACGGGGUGGAGUAACGCGUGGGUAACCGUGCCUUGUACUGGGGGACGAAAGUUAGAAAUGACUGCUAAUACCGCAUAAGCGCACAGUAUCGCAUGAUACAGUGUGAAAAACUCCGGUGGUACAAGAUGGACCCGCGUCUGAUUAGCUAGUUGGUAAGGUAACGGCUUACCAAGGCGACGAUCAGUAGCCGACCUGAGAGGGUGACCGGCCACAUUGGGACUGAGACACGGCCCAA
rnacentral:rRNA from 1 species